AAUAGAUACCCCGGUAGUCCACGCCGUAAACGAUGAGUGCUAAGUGUUAGGGGGUUUCCGCCCCUUAGUGCUGCAGCUAACGCAUUAAGCACUCCGCCUGGGGAGUACGGUCGCAAGACUGAAACUCAAAGGAAUUGACGGGGGCCCGCACAAGCGGUGGAGCAUGUGGUUUAAUUCGAAGCAACGCGAAGAACCUUACCAGGUCUUGACAUCCCAUUGACCACUAUGGAGACAUAGUUUUCCCUUCGGGGACAACGGUGGCAGGUGGUGCAUGGUUGUCGUCAGCUCGUGUCGUGAGAUGUUGGGUUAAGUCCCGCAACGAGCGCAACCCUUGUUCUUAGUUGCCAUCAUUUAGUUGGGCACUCUAAGGAGACUGCCGGUGACAAACCGGAGGAAGGUGGGGAUGACGUCAAAUCAUCAUGCCCCUUAUGACCUGGGCUACACACGUGCUACAAUGGACGGUACAAACGGUUGCCAACCCGCGAGGGGGAGCUAAUCCGAUAAAACCGUUCUCAGUUCGGAUUGUAGGCUGCAACUCGCCUACAUGAAGCC
rnacentral:rRNA from 1 species